UUUGAUGACGAGUGGCGGACGGGUGAGUAAUGCUUGGGAAUCUAGCUUAUGGAGGGGGAUAACUACGGGAAACUGUAGCUAAUACCGCGUAGAAUCGAGAGAUGAAAGUGUGGGACCUUCGGGCCACAUGCCAUAGGAUGAGCCCAAGUGGGAUUAGGUAGUUGGUGAGGUAAAGGCUCACCAAGCCGACGAUCUCUAGCUGGUCUGAGAGGAUGACCAGCCACACUGGGACUGAGACACGGCCCAG
rnacentral:rRNA from 1 species